GGAAUAUUGGACAAUGGGCGCAAGCCUGAUCCAGCCAUGCCGCGUGAGUGAUGAAGGCCUUAGGGUUGUAAAGCUCUUUCAGUAGGGAAGAUAAUGACGGUACCUACAGAAGAAGCCCCGGCUAACUUCGUGCCAGCAGCCGCGGUAAUACGAAGGGGGCUAGCGUUGUUCGGAUUUACUGGGCGUAAAGCGCACGUAGGCGGAUUGGUCAGUUAGAGGUGAAAUCCUGGAGCUCAACUCCAGAACUGCCUUUAAUACUGCCAGUCUAGAGUCCGGAAGAGGUAAGUGGAACUCCUAGUGUAGAGGUGGAAUUCGUAGAUAUUAGGAAGAACACCAGUGGCGAAGGCGGCUUACUGGUCCGGUACUGACGCUGAGGUGCGAAAGCGUGGGGAGCAAACAGGAUUAGAUACCCUUG
rnacentral:rRNA from 1 species